rnacentral:misc_RNA from 1 species
CGCACAUUGCGCCCUUUGGCAUUCCGAAGGGCAUGCCUGUUCGAGCGUCAUUACACCCCUCAAACUUCACUGUUUGUUGUUGGGUACUGCCUGAGGGCAUACCUAAAAAUUAGCGACGGUUUCAACCAACCUCAGACGUACAAGUAUCGUUAUGGAGAGCGGUUGAGGCCUGUCUUAACAAAAAUAUCUAAAUGUUGACCUCGGAUCAGGUAGGAAUACCCGCUGAACUUAA